rnacentral:rRNA from 1 species
AUGGUGAACAUGAUAUACGCAACCCACGUCCCCAAAAGGGAGCGGAAGCGCGCGUUAAGGGACGUAUACACGGUAGAGCCAGUCGCCCCAAAGUUCAAUCCAUGGUCCUCUUGCCCGAUCACCUUUGAUCGAAGGGACCAUCCCACUAGCAUCCAUCAUGGCGGGUUUGCCGCAUUGGUCCUAGACCCAAUUAUUGACGGAUUUCAUCUCACUAGAGUCCUUAUGGACGGCGGCGGCAGCCUGAACCUGCUUUACCAGGAUACAGUGCGGAAAAUGGGCAUAGAUCCCUCAAGGAUUAAGCCCACCAAAACGACCUUUAAAGGCAUAAUACCAGAUGUAGAGGCCAACUAUACAGGCUCAGUCACACUUGAAGUGGUCUUCGGAUCUCCGGAUAAUUUCCGAAGCGAGGAGUUAAUCUUUGACAUAGUCCCGUUUCGCAGUGGUUAUCAUGCACUGCUCGGGCGAACCGCAUUCGCUAAGUUCAAUGUGGUACCGCACUACGCAUACCUUAAGCUCAAGAUGUCAAGCCCUCGAGGAGAAAUUACGAUCAAUGGAAACACCGAACGCACACGGUAG